rnacentral:rRNA from 1 species
AGAGCGAACGCUGGCGGCAGGCUUAACACAUGCAAGUCGAGCGGGCGUAGCAAUACGUCAGCGGCAGACGGGUGAGUAACGCGUGGGAACGUACCUUUUGGUUCGGAACAACACAGGGAAACUUGUGCUAAUACCGGAUAAGCCCUUACGGGGAAAGAUUUAUCGCCGAAAGAUCGGCCCGCGUCUGAUUAGCUAGUUGGUGAGGUAACGGCUCACCAAGGCGACGAUCAGUAGCUGGUCUGAGAGGAUGAUCAGCCACAUUGGGACUGAGACACGGCCCAAACUCCUACGGGAGGCAGCAGUGGGGAAUAUUGGACAAUGGGCGCAAGCCUGAUCCAGCCAUGCCGCGUGAGUGAUGAAGGCCCUAGGGUUGUAAAGCUCUUUUGUGCGGAAGAUAAUGACGGUACCGCAAGAAUAAGCCCGGCUAACUUCGUGCCAGCAGCCGC